rnacentral:rRNA from 1 species
UCCAAUAAGCGGAGGAAAAGAAACCAACCGGGAUUGCCUCAGUAACGGCGAGUGAAGCGGCAAGAGCUCAAAUUUGAAAUCUGGCCCCUUUGGGGUCCGAGUUGUAAUUUGCAGAGGAUGCUUCGGGUGCGGUCCCCGUCUAAGUGCCCUGGAACGGGCCGUCAUAGAGGGUGAGAAUCCCGUCUGGGAUGGGCGGCCGCGCCCGUGUGAAGCUCCUUCGACGAGUCGAGUUGUUUGGGAAUGCAGCUCUAAGUGGGUGGUAAAUUUCAUCUAAAGCUAAAUACUGGCCGGAGACCGAUAGCGCACAAGUAGAGUGAUCGAAAGAUGAAAAGCACUUUGAAAAGAGAGUUAAACAGCACGUGAAAUUGUUGAAAGGGAAGCGUUGUCCACCAGACUCGCCCGGGGGGGCUCAGCCGGCACUCGUGCCGGUGUACUCCUCCCCGGGCGGGCCAGCAUCGGUUUGGGCGGCUGGUGAAAGGCCCCGGGAAUGUAACACCCUCCGGGGUGCCUUAUAGCCCGGGGUGUCAUGCGGCCAGCCUGGACCGAGGCCCGCGCUUCGGCGAGGAUGCUGGCGUAAUGGUGGUCAACGGCCCCGUCUUGAAACA